rnacentral:lncRNA from 1 species
AAUUCAUUUUAGGGUCUAAAACCCUAUUGCUGACUAAAGGAAAAAGUUCAGUUUAGGGUUUAAAAUCCUAAUGCUGACUGAAGGAAAGAGUUCAGUUUAGGGUUUAAAAUCCUAAUGCUGACUGAAGGAAAAAGUUCAGUUUAGAGUUUAAAACCCUAAUGCUAACUGAAUGGAAAAAGUUUAGUUUAGGGUUUAAAACCCUGAUGCUGACUAAAGGAAAAGAGUUCAGUUUAGGGUUUAAAACCCUAAUGCUGACUAAAGGAAAAAGUUCAGUUUAAGAUUUAAAACCCUAUUGCUAACUAAAGGAAAAAGUUCAGUUUAGAGUUUAAAAUCCUAAUGCUUACUGAAGGAAAGAGUUCAGUUUAGGGUUUAAAUCCCUAAUAUUGACUGAAGGAAAGAGUUCAGUUUAGAGUUUAAAACCCUAAUGCUGACUGAGUGGAAAAAGUUCAGUUUAGGGUUUAAAACCCUAUUGCUAACUAAAGGAAAAAGUUCAGUUUAGAGUUUAAAAUCCUAAUGCUGACUGAAUGGAAAGAGUUCAGUUUAGGGUUUAAAACCCUAAUGCUGACUGAAUGGAAAGAGUUCAGUUUAGGGUUUAAAACCCUAAUGCUGACCAAAGGAAAGAGUUCAGUUUAGGGUUUAAAACCCUUAUGCUGACAAAAUGGAAAAGUUCAGUUUAGGGUUUAAAACCCUAUUGCUAACUAAAGGAAAAAGUUCAGUUUAGGGUUUAAAACCCUAAUGCUGACUGAAUGGAAAAAGUUCAAUUUAAGGUUUAAAUCCCUAAUGCUGACUAAAUGGAAAAAGUUCAGUUUAGGGUUUAAAACCCUAAUGCUGACUGAAGGAAAAAGUUCAGUUUAGGGUUUAAAACCCUAAUGCUGACUAAAGGAAAGAGUUCAGUUUAGGAUUUAAAACUCUAAUGUUGACUAAAGG